rnacentral:tRNA from 1 species
GCGCCCGUAGCUCAGCUGGAUAGAGCAACGGACUUCUAAUCCGUGGGUCGGAGGUUCGAAUCCUCUCGGGUGCG